rnacentral:lncRNA from 10 species
AGGAGGGGUGUGGCCUAGACCACUAAGGGCCGUGACGUGGUGCCGCUGAGCUUGGACCCCGACCAGAAGAUAGAGAUUGAAACGAUGAGGAAAACGAAGUGCCUAAUCCCCGCUGGACGCUAACUGCAGGGCAAGCUCCCCAGUGUUGUAGUUGUGUUUCGGAGGCCGAGAACCGCUAUCGGGCUUCCUCGGACUCUGGCCCUGGAGGGGGGAAACGGCGAGGGAGAAGGCGAAACGAGUCUCCAGUGUGUUCUUGGGGCCUGGUGCGAGGCCCAGAGAAUUCUCUGCAGGCCUUUGCCCGGGCACUGAUUAAGGCUGCGAAGAGACGCACCGGGCUGCGGGCUUAGUAGCUUCAGGCUUCUGAAGUCAGAGGGAGGGCUGAGAGCUUACACUUCUGGAGCUCCCCGGGAGACGGCAACUACCCAACCGUGUGGGUGUGUUUGUGUAUGUGUCUUUUGUUGAGCUUCGGCUGGCUGUGUUAUUCAUUCAACAAAUAUUUAUCGAUCUUCGGCAGUGUGUCAGACAUACCUUCUUCUCAAAUCUUCACAUCAAACCUGAAUUAUCUCCAUUUAAUGAUGAGGAAACUCGGGCUCAAAGAAGUUAAGUGUUCUAGCCAAGACUGCAUAGAACAUGGAGGAGACAUAUUUCCACCUAUUUCUCUCCAUAAGUAUAAAAGACCAUAAAAGACCAUCUAGGGACUUCAGAACCCAAAUAAUGACACAAUGUUAAUUUGCAGGUUCUCCCUCUGCCUGCCACCCCACCCAGCAAGGAGGAGAGGAAGUGUUGAGAAGGGAAGAGAUGAGUCCUGGCCCUGUCACUUCUUAGGGGUGUGCUUUUGAACAACCUGCUCACCAUGUAUGAACUUCACUCUUCUUGUUUAUAAAAUGAGGACAAUGACACCUGCAAGACUGUGAGGUUUAAAAACAAAAUCUGUGUUGAGAGGCCCUUAUUGGAGGUAGAUGCCAGAGCCAUACUCGUACAGCCUGCACAACUGUGAGUCAAUUAAACCUCUUUUCUUUAUAAAUUACCCAGUCCCAGGUACUUAUAGCAAUGCAAAAACUAUCUAACACUCCUGGUUUCAAAUGAUUGGGAAGAAAUGGGAUUAGAGGUCUCUGAAGAUGCCAGGGCUCUGGAGAUUGCUGGGGGAAGGAUAGCCCUGUCCCUGUCAGGGGCCGCCUCCUGUGUGGAGGGCCUUAGGGCUCUGGAGAGAGAACCCCUGUGUUCAAAUUCUGCCUCUGCUACUUACCAAAUAUGGGACUUUGAGUAUUUCACCUGGUCUGAAUGGGCACCUACAUCCUAGUCCUGGAAACAGCUCAAAUAGGGACAGAGGAGGUGCUUAACAAAGGAUUAAGCCUACAACCUGGAUCUAUUCCUUGCCUUGAAGACCAGUUGAGGGCCCAGGAUGAGCCUCCUGUGGGUGCACUAGCUCUGCUUUAAUUGCCUAGUUCUAAAAUGAAUCUUCCUUUGCAUUGGAGAAAAAAACAACAGAGGCUACAGAAAGCCCCUGGGGUCUGUCUCAGCUGCUAUUGCUCUGACUGUGGUCUGUGAACCCUGGGUAGGCAAGACAUAGCUCCCACCUGUUCCUCUUUUCAUCUCUUGCUGGUGAGGAGCAGGUGUUCUUUCCAAGCUUCUCCUAUCUCUCUCCCCUCUUCUUACUUGUUCCAGUCUUUCUCCCUCCUCUUCCCUCUCCUCUUCUUUCUUCUUCCUUUGCCUUAUCCUCUUCCCUGCUUUCCUCUCUCCCAUUCUUUCCCCCUCCUCUGCUCUUUUCUCCUCUCUCUUUCUCUCCUCUCCCUUCCUCUUCCCUCUGCCUUCCUCUUCACUUCCCUUUCCUCCUACCCUUUCCCCUCCUUUCCCAUCUUCUCUCCUCCUCUACCCCCUCAUCCCUUCCUCUUCACCUCUCCCCUCUGUUUCCCUUCCUCUCCCUGCAACAUUCUCUCCUCUCCUCCUUCCUCCUUUCUCUUCUUCCUCAUUCUCCCCUCCUGUCCCUUCUGUAGCUCCCCUUAUCCCUUGUGGCAUCAGCAUCUCCCAGCCUCAAAACUGGCAGUCACUGUUUCAUCAGCUCUGGCCCCAGCCAAAACCUCCCUCCCUUCUCAGCCAGCAGCAGCUGCUGGACUCUUGAAGGGGGUAACAAUUAGUCAUUGGAGGGUGGCAGUGGUUGAGGGAGACAGAGCGUGCCAGCCUUUGCAGUCAUUGCUCUGUCACCUCAUGUACAACAGGCUUAACUCAACACGUGAUCUUCCCUUUGGCACCCCCCUCUCCCUCUGCCACUGCUGAGCUGUGUUGUGUGUAUUUGUCCUCCCUCGUCCCCACACCCACAACCAUCUUUAUGCCCUCACCUCCUCUGUGAGCUUUAUGCAGCCCUGCCUAGUGUGGCAGCUCCUUAAAGCACCUCUCUUGUUCUUCCCUUCCUUCCUGUGACCACUCCCUAUCCCUAAUAUGGGUCCCUCACUGCUUCUCCCCUGAAAUACUUGAUCCUGGGUUCCUCUCCCCACCUUCAUCUGUCCUGUCAACAAUGACUGGAGUGCAUUCCUGGUUCAUGUCCUCCUAGGGAUGAAAAAGAGUGACAUCUUUCCUCCCCACCACACUCCUAGAACAAAAGAUAGGUUAACAAGAGAAAAGCAUAACACAUUUAUUUAAUCAAGCUUUUAUGUGAUAUGGGAGACUUCAAAAAUGAAGACCCCAAGACCCAGGGGAAACUGUUUUUAUGCUUAGGUUUGAUGAAGAGUGGACAGCCAUGUACUCUUUUUGUAUUGGACAAAAGGGGUAUAAUCCAGUAGUAAUAGACUGAAUGGGAAAACCCAGCAAGGCCUGUCUGUUCAGAUUCUUCUUGGCCUCUCUGUUGUAGCAUUUCUUCCUUCUGGGUAUGAUGCAGGACCCCUCUGCAAUGAGGGCCUUAGGAUCUAAUAUCAGAUAAGGGUAGGUCAGAGAAUUUCUUUUUGGCCACCUCCUAGACAGAAGGGGAUGGGGAGGUCAGAGUAGUAUUUCCAGGGUUCAUGGCUUACUUUGGGGGAGAGGGGUUCCAGUUUUUAUGACCCACCUAGGGUACAAGGAAUUAUGUUUCUAUGACUUGCUUUGAGGGAGAAAUGAGGGGUGAGAGAUAGGAAGCAGGAAGUCAAAGAGACCAUGGUUCUGAGGUUGCUUCUGAGGUCUUCCAAUGUCCUUUAGUUCAAAGUACUCAGCACACCAAAGUGCUAUACUUUGGGGUAUCAUUUUCUGAGCUGCAGAAUCCCAGAUACAUCACUCUCCUCAGAAGCUCUGGCUCUCCUGGUGCACUGACUGAGACCAAACAAGUGUUCAUGACCUACCCAAGCCUGAGAGAACAGCCCUCCAGAUCCUGGUCCUCCUGCCUUCCACCAUGGGCAAGAACCCCCACCCCACCUCUCCCCAACCCUCCUUGCCUUUUUCUGCUUCCCGCCUUUGCUUGUGCUGGUUCCUUCUCCACCUGUUCCCAUCACCCAUACCCUGUUCCCAUCACCCACUGCCAUUAUCCAGGGCCUAAACAUCUCCCCCAUUAUGAAGCUGCUCUAGAGAGGGUGACGUCGCUUCUCUUAUAGGACUCGUUGGACACAGUCAGGGGCCCUAAUACUGCAUCAGCAGAAAGAUGUGUGAGUGGUUCACAUGACCUUUGACCACUGACUUUACUCACCUAUGGAGGUGGACUUGGGCUUUUGCUUGAGAAUGUGGGUGUGCAUAUGUGGGAAAAUAUGUUUAAAAUGAUCAUGCUUUGGAUGAACGAGGCUGGGUUUACCAGUGUAUUUGCUAAGCACUUGCAGAGGACUCGACUGGGGAGCUUGAAAUAAUACAUAUUCCAGGGCCCUGUCCCUGACCUCAGAACCAGAUUAGAGGAGCAGGGGAGGUGGCAGUAAUCUGUGUUUUUAAUAAGUCCUUCUGUUUGAUCUUCACAUUUGGAAAUGACUACAGUAAGUGAUCUCAGUAUUAAAACUCUUAGAAAGCAAAGAGUUUUCAUGAAGGAAAUAAUCACCUCAUUAUAUAUGUAUUACAAUGGAUAAAUAUAUGGGAUUGGGGAGGAGAAUCUGUAUAUAGGGAGAGAAUUGACUGUUGUUUCAGGCACUGUACCACAGGGUCUUAUUCAUUCCUUACUACUUCCCAUGCAGCAGGUUCUAUAAUCCUUACUUUACAGAUGAGAAAGGGGAGGCUCAGAGAGGGGAAGUAACUGCUGCAUAGUCACACAGCUGGAGAGUGACAAGGUCCAUGUUCAAACCAAGGGCUGAUGCCAAAGUCCAAGCUUGAACCACACUGCAAUGCUGCCCAUUUGUGAGCCUGAAUUUUUUUUUUAACUUUCAAGGACAGGUUUUCUUUAACUUUCAAGAACAGGCCCCACUGGUUAAUGGCUAACCCCAAUGUCUCUCAUGAUACUCCCUGGAGGUAGGGUUCUGAGGUUCCAAGAGUGCUUCCCACUGGCCUGCCCUGUCCUCAGUAUAAGCCCUAGAUGGGUCUUAAAAUUUAAUCUUUUCUACUGUAUUCCCGACUAGGCUUGUUGGUGCUGGAGUGAAGCAUUCCUGCCAUGGUUUGGUUCUGAAACAGGCUGAGGGAACAGAAAUAUGAGAGAGGCAACUUGACUUAUCCCAUCCACAGUGAGUGCUGGAAUGAAAAGAAGGCCCUGGCCCAAAAUAGAUGCCCAGGCUUUUCAAUGGGACCUAAAAUUUUACUACUUUGAGUUCAGAUGCAUCUUCUUUGAAAAAGAAUUAUCAGUAGAAUGAAUACAGCCACCAUGAGUCUUUCAUACUAUAGGUAAACUAAUUCAUUCAGUUACUUUUCAUUUGUGGAAAAAAUAUACUGAGACUAUUCCACUUGGAAAAUGAGAGUUUUAAAGUAUAUUGUUGCCAUGUAUAAUUGAAAAAGUGGCAUGCACAUGUUGGGAAUGAGUUCAUUGCUUCCAAAGCACACUGUGGAUGUGGAACUCUUCUGGGUGAAGGGGAUUCCAUGGUUUCAGGCUGGGUGUCUUUGCUGGAGGACUUGUCAGAGCUUUAAAAAUGCUAAUUCUCAUUGUGAAUUUCUAGGAAGGGGAUAUAGUUCUCCAAAUUUAUUUGACCAUAAACCUUUUCAUGGAAUCUUAACCCAGGAUCAAAAAUAAAUACUAACCCCUUACCUGCGCAGAAUACUUCACAGUGAGUCCCCAGUGGGCUUCAGACACAACCUCAUUCAAUAGGGUUUUCUUGAGGGACAGAUGAGAGGUCAUUUGAGCCUGUGGCGAGCAAGGGCAAGCCUGGCGAGAGUGAUAGGAGUGGGGAUGGGCUCUUGGGGAAGCUCUAGGAAGGUGGGGACAAAGGGCCCACUUCACUGGUCCCUCUACUUGGUUCCCUGUCUGCCCCAGGAGAGGAGGCCUGCACUUCCUCAGGAGGCUCCCCUUCCUCCCCAGCGCCUCUCACUGACUUGACCAAAAAGGCCAUGCAUGUGAGAGAACUCCGCCUCCUCCGUUCUCCCGGCUAACAUGAGGCUCCAGCCAGGCACUUUUCUGGCUUUCUUGCUGCAGGAACAUGGCUUGGUUGUUUGGGAGCACAGCUUGCCAGGAGGCCCAUAGCAUGAUGGCUUGAUCAAAGGGCUUGAGCCAAGGCUGGCCCUGGGCCACAUGGCUGGAUUGCAGCCUUUCUAUCCAUCCCCCUAAUCCCAUUUAGGAUGUUCAGGAUCAAUGAAAAGAUCUGAUCAUUCAAAUCAUACCAAAGUGUGCUAACACCAUGUGCUACCCCUCUGGGGAUAAACCUGCUUUACAAAGAGAAUGCUUGCCUAAUGGUGGGACAGAAGGAUGAAGGACAUGCCUUUUACCUGUGGGACCCCAUGAAUUUAGGACCCCGUGAAUGAUCCAUCACAAAUCCGUCUGCAUUAACCACUCUGUCCUUCCAGGUGCACUAUUCCAUCUGCGUAUCCAGCAGCAAAAUACAAUUCUGCUCAGAAUAAUGAACCUAAUGUUCUGAAGGCACCAGAAGGUUGUGGAAGUAUUGACCUAUCUCUAGUUAGCAUCUGCUCACCAGGACCCCUGAGACUGUGGAGGGGGUAACUCAGCAGAAGGACCAGGGCUAACAGGGACUGAAUCCUUACCACAUACCAGGGCCCGUUCCAAACACUUUGCAUGUUUUAAAUUGCUUAAUCCUCACAAUGACCCAGUGGAGGAGAUGAUAGUUUUGUCUCUUCUUCAUAUUAUGAUAGAGGAAAAUGAGGACAGAGAGGCCAAAUGACAGGCCCAUGGUCAACCAGCUAAGAAGUGAAGGGGCAGGACUUGAAUUCAGGCCUCCUGGCCCCAGAGUUUGCAGCACCUGGCAUGUGGCAGUAGUUGAGAAGUUACACUGAGUCUGAGUAGACCUGUAGUUAGUGACCCCCUCCACAGCACAGGGCUGAUGGACAGUGGGCUGGCUUGGGCCAAGAGCAGCUGGCACUGCAGAUCUGUUGGAAUAGCUCUGCCCAGGCUGCCCAGGGCAAGUUGCAGACUGGGAGGCAUAUGUAUCCUAAAAUAGAACUUUUGAGAAAUAAUGUGCAUCCAAAGGAAUGAGUCUCAGACGAGGAUGUUCAAGAAUCAGUAGCAGAUGCUGUGCGGGCCACAGAAUGUUUCUAGGUAAAAUGCCCUCCUCCCCACCCCCCAUGUCCCCCACAACCAACAAACAAGCUAAGAAAAAAGAAACAAAAUAAAAUAAAUUGAAACAAAUUAAUAAACAUGCAAAAACCACACAGACAGUCAUCUCUUCUGUCUGUGGGUAAAACUGACAGCUCUAGAAAUAAACGGAGAUCCAUAUAAAGGGUUUCAAAAUAUGGGAGUAAUUUUUGUUUUUCCAUUUAAUGCUAGGUUUCAAAGGAGGGGAAUAUGUCUAUCACUGCUACAUAGGCAUUCUGUUUAAAACCCACCCAGAUGCCUUAAUGGGGCUCUGUCAAGAGUGGGAAGGUCCCCACAGCUGUUUCUCAAAGCCAGUAGACCACUCAGUGUGGGCAGUGGGGAGCUUGUGCUUGGCAGGCCUCCCACGUCGCCAUCAUUUCUUUUUGAACACUUGACGGCACACCUGGUCACCACAGGUCAGCUCCUGCAACGUCAGAAAGUGGGUGAGGGUCUAACAAGCCAGGCCUUUCUUCUGCCCAGCCCUCAGCCCCCUUGGUAUCUGGGGGUGGGAGGUUGGAAUAAAGAGGACACUUAGGUAUUCUGGGCAAAGUGCAUCUCACAGACCCAAUCAGCGGGCAUGCCCUGCAGGUAGCAGUAAUUUGAUUUUGACACUUGAAUUGAGCUUGAACAACUAUAAAAAUGAAAAAUGCAAAGAAAUGACCCUCUUGGGCAGGAUUUCUCCUACUCCCAUGAUUAAAGUAACAUGACCUAAUUUAUAAAAGGCAGCGAAGCCAUGAGGAAGGAAAGGACCUAGUGUAGAGAAGUGUUUGGAAGGUAGGGGCCUGAAAAGAUGCUGGCCAGUGAGCUGCCCCUCCACCCUGUGGGCUUUCUGGCCUCUGGUGAUUAGAACAUUGGCUGGUGGUGGCGCAGGUACCCGCAGGGUGUGAGGUGCAGAAGGGCUUUCCCAGGCUUGCCUGUGCAGCCGACAAGGUCCCGCUUUUCAUCCAGAUAGAGGGAGCCCAGGCCUUAUUUGACCCUCACUGAUCCUCGAAGGAGGAGGGAAAAACAUGAGUGUGGGAAGGACCACCACAAUCAUUGCAGUUGACUGUGAAUCCAUUGUCUAAGCCACAGAGAGCACUGGGGAUUGUAUUACAAUUAGAAAAAUCCACCAUCCAAACCAGUGCAGGUAGGGAAAGCCAUCAAUGCAAAACACGAUAAAUGCCUCCCAUAUAUCAUUAGCUGACAUUGCCUUCAAAAUAAAG